CUUGUGGUGGAACAUUUUCUCAUUUUCAUGAAAGGAGACGAGCUUAUGAGGACACACAGACACAAAAAAAAAAAAAGGAAAUCUCCAUUUUUUGUUCUGGCCAAGAAUAGAGAAGUGGACUAACCAACCCGAUGAUUGAAAAGAGUAGGAAAAAAGGUCGGAGCUAAUGGAGUUUGGCAGAACUGUCUAUCCCAUUUUUUAAUGAUUUCUCAGACUACGUAAGACAAAUUCCCAAUCGUUUUUACGACCCUCUGAGGGUGGAAAGGAGCAUCAUCAACCUGACGAUAUCGUGAGAUGAUGAUGAUGGUAAUCCAGUAGCCGACAAAAACCAGUAUUGUUACGACUGCCCUGAACUCGCUCAAUUAACCUAUGGCUGCUGUCUACCCUUGGCCUGCUCCUGCUGUUGUUACACAAGAAAUCAAUCGAAUCGAGGAAAAAAAAAAAAAGGGGAGUGUCGUAAGGAGCAUCAGAAAACCACCAGGGCAGUAUAAUGUAUACUACUGCAGAAGGUAGAGAAGGAUCAACACACGCAGAGAACCAUCAACAAGUUCGGAAAGGGCCUUUGCCUUAUUAUUAUUUCCCCCCUUUUUUUUUUUUUCUGUGUGUUUUAUUUCUAUUUUUACGAUUCCCUAAGACUCCCCUUUUUCUUUCCUAAUUUUCUCUUGUCUUUAAAAAAAAAAAAAAAAAAAAAAAGUUUUCUAGGCGCAAGAAUCGAGAAGAAAGGAACAGGAAUAGAAGCUGAGGCGGAAGAAGAAAAAUAUAUAAAAAAAAAAGAAAAGAAAAGGGGGCCGUGAGCACGGUUGGAACCGCGGAGCCCUCGAGGCGAGUCCAUCUGCUUCGGAAGUGAGUGGGAGGGCUCUCCGACACCAUCAAAAACUACUCGGCAAGCAGCGAGCAGCCAGCAGGAGAGCCCGAACUGAAA